rnacentral:rRNA from 1 species
GACGAACGCUGGCGGCGUGCUUAACACAUGCAAGUCGAACGGAAAGGCCCUGCUUUUGUGGGGUGCUCGAGUGGCGAACGGGUGAGUAACACGUGAGUAACCUGCCCUUGACUUUGGGAUAACUUCAGGAAACUGGGGCUAAUACCGGAUAGGAGCUCCUGCUGCAUGGUGGGGGUUGGAAAGUUUCGGCGGUUGGGGAUGGACUCGCGGCUUAUCAGCUUGUUGGUGGGGUAGUGGCUCACCAAGGCUUUGACGGGUAGCCGGCGUGAGAGGGGGACCGGCCACAGGGGGACGGAGACACGGCCCAGACGCCGACGGGAGGCAGCAGGGGGGAAUAUUGCACAAGGGGCGAAAGCCUGAUGCAGCGACGCCGGGUGGGGGAUGACGGCCUUCGGGUUGGAAACCGCUUGCAGUAGGGAAGAAGCGAAAGUGACGGUAAGGGAAGAAGAAGCACCGGCUAACUACGUG